GGAAGCCGGUGAAAGCCCGGCGCGGUCGCGCCACUGUAAUCGGCAGCCCAAGCCGAAAGCCAGAC
rnacentral:sRNA from 19 species